CCAUGAGGGCCGAGCUACGGUUCCGGCGGCGUGCCUCCGGAUUAAAAGGGAAUCCCGGUGCGCCUGACCUGUUCAGGCAAUGCCGGAGCUGCCCCCGCAACUGUAUGCGGUGAGUGACGGUCGAUCAUGCCACUGGCGCGAAUGCGCCGGGAAGGCCGGCCCGAACGAUGACCCGCAAGCCAGGAGACCUGCCGCAGCAAUCACCCAUUU
rnacentral:ncRNA from 2 species